CGUUUUUUUUAAGUCUACCUGCCCACUGAUAUAUUUAAUGGCCGCGGUAUUUUGACCGUGCAAAGGUAGCAUAAUAAUUUGUCUUUUAAUUGAAGGCUUGUAUGAAUGGUUGGACGAGAAAAUUACUUUCUUUAUAAUAAAAUAAUUAAUUUUAUUUUUUAGUUAAAAAGCUAAAAUGUUGUUGUAGGACGAGAAGACCCUAUAGAACUUUAUAUUUGUUUUUAUAUUAAUAUUUUUUGGUUAUAAUAUAUUGUAUUUUUAUAAAUAUUUUGUUGGGGCGACAAGAAAAUUUAUUUAACUUUUUUUUAUUAAUUUCAUUAAUUAAUGUAUAAAUGAUCCUAUAUUAUAGAUAGUUAGAAUAAGUUACCUUAGGGAUAACAGCGUAAUUUUUUUGGAGAGUUCUUAUCAAUAAAAAAGUUUGCGA
rnacentral:rRNA from 1 species